GUGGAUAUAGUUUAAUCGGUAAAACGUAUAUUUUAGGGAUAUAUAUCUUGAGUUCGAAACUCAAUAUCUACA
rnacentral:tRNA from 1 species